CAAUCCACCCCCCAUUUUUAUUUUUUUGAAUUAAAGAUCAUCUAAUAAAUGACCGCCACACCCUCGCACUAUAACUCCCCACCCCCCACCCCAAAAACAUAUUUUUAUGCCCCCUGUAGGGUGGCAUAUAGCAGUUGAACUGUCCGUCAGUAUGUCAGUCAGUUAGUCCGUCCGUCCAAAAAAAACACUUUAACAUUGGCCAUAACUUUUUCAAUAUUGAAGAUAGCAACCUCAUAUUUGGCAUGCAUGUGCAGGGUUUUUUCUGUCUAUUUUGGGAAAAGGAGUAUGACCAAAUUGGGAAUUUUUUAUCGACAAAAUUGACCAUUUUGGGAAUUUUUGCUUCGAUGAAACUGCUCAUUUUGGAAAAAAAUGUGAAUUUAUCAUGCUUAAAUAAUUCAGUGGUUUAACAAAUAAAUUUGUUUUUAUUUGUUAUUUUGUCUCCUUUAUAUAAACAGAUGCAAUAUUUGGCAUGUUCAACGUUUAUUCAAGUACUGCAGUUUUGUUUUUCAGUUACAGUUACACUCUGAAUUUUUAUUUUAUUUUUUUGGAAAUUGGGAUUUAUUUUUUUUUUUUCGGUUUGGGAUUGGGUCCGUUUGCUUUAGGAGUGCCUCCGUUUUCCAGAGGCGCAGACAUUGCUGAAAAACCCCUGAUAUGUAUCUCAUGGAGCUGAACAUUUUGAGUGGUGAAAGGUGAAGGUCAUGGUUAUCCUUCAAGGUCAAAAUUUUUUUUUUUUAAUUCAAAGCGGCGUUCUCAUGAAGCUGCACAUUUUGAGUUAUGAAAGGUCAAGGUCAAUCUUCAAGGUCAAGGUCAUCCUUCAAGGUCAAAGGUAAAAAAAAAAAAAUUCAAAGCAACGUUUUCAUGAAGCUAAACAUUUUGAGUGGUUGAAGUUCAAGGUCAAGGUCAUUCUUCAAGGUCAAGGUCAUCCUUCAAGGUCAAAGGUAAAAAAAUAAUUCAAAGCGGCGUUAUCAUGAAGCUGCACAUUUUAAGUGGUGGAAGUUCAAGGUCAAGGUCAUCCUUCAAGGUCAAAGGUAAAAAAAAAAAAUCAAAGCGGCGUUAUCAUGAAGCUGCACAUUUUGAGUGUUGGAAGUUCACAGUCAAGGUCAUCCUUCAUGGUCAAUUGUUUUUUUUAAUUCAAAGCGGCAUUCUCAUAAAGCUGCACAUUUUGAGUGGUGGAAGUUCAAGGUCAAGGUCAUCCUUCAAUGUCAUCCUUCAAGGUUAAAGGUUAAAUUUUUUAUUUUAUUCAAUUUCAAAGCGGUGUUCUCAUGAAGCUGCAUAUUUUGAGUGGUGGAAGUUCAAGGUCAAUGUCAUCUUUCAAGGUCAUCCUUCAAGGUCAAAGGUAAAAAAAAUAAUAAUUUCAAAGCGGCUUUAUCAUGAAGCUGCAUAUUUUGAGUGGUGGAAGGUCAAGGUCAUACUUCAAGGUCAAAGGUUUCAAACAUGGUUAAAAAACACAAAUAUUUUUAUUUUUUUAUUUUUGACAUUCCGACCAACCAUCCCACCCAAGAAUCCCCCCCCCCCCCCCCCCCCCAAUUAUUUUUUUUGCAUUUUUGGAAGAUAAUGUAAUAAAUGACCACACCCCUCUCCACUCCACCCCUCCCUCCUGUGAUUGAAAUUGAAAUAGGUCCCUACACCUUUAAAAAGAAAAAUAGAUCAGCUGUCAGCACCUACAAGGCGGUGCUCUUGUUUAACAAUCAGCAUGGUGUCCUCUCUCUUUUUCAAGUAGUUUUCAUCCGAUCUUCACCAAACUUGGUCAGAAGUUUUAUCUAGAUGAUCUGAAGGCCAAGUUUGAACAUGGGCCAUGCCAGAUCAAAAACUAGGUCACAGGGUCACUUAGUACGUUUUACACAUUGAGCAUGAUGUCUGCUCUCUAUUUCAAGUAGUUUAAAUCCGAUCUUCACCACACUUGGUCAGAAGUUGUAACUAGAUGAUGUGUAGGUCAAGUUCGAACAUGGGCCAUGCCGGGUCAAAAACUAGGUCACGGGGUCACUUAGUGUGUUUUAAACCUCACCAUAUUGUCCGCUAAUUCAAGAAGUUUUUAUCCAAUCUUCACCAAAAUUGGUCAGAAGUUGUAUCUUGAUAAUGUCUAGGGCAAGUUUGAAUAUGGGUCAUGCCGGGUCAAAAACAAGGUCACGGGUUCACUUACUGCGUUUUAAACAUCACAAUGUUGUCGGCUCUCUGAUUCAAGUAGUUUUUAUCCAAUCUUCACCAAACUUGGUCAGAAGUUGUAUCUAGAUGAUGUCUAGGUCAAGUUUGAAUAUGGGUCAUGCCUGGUCAAAAUCUAGGUCACGGGGUAUCUUAGUGCGUUUUAAACCUCACCAUGUUGUCUGCUCUCUAAUUCAAGUAGUUUUCAUCCAAUCCUCACCAAACUUGGUCACAAGUUUUAUCUAAAUGAUCUCUAGGACAAGAUUGAACAUGGGCCAUUCCGGGCCUAAAACUAGGUCACGGGGUCACUUAGUGCGUUUUUUAACAUUCAGCAUGGUGUCCGCUCUCUAAUUCAAGUAGUUAACAUCCGAUCUUCACCAAACUUGGUCAGAAGUUUUAUGGAGAUGAUCUUAAGGCCAAGUUAGAACAUGGGCCUUUCUGGGUCAAGGGGUCACUUAGUGCGUUUUAAAAAUUGAGCAUGGUGUCCGCUGUUUUUUGUGAAGACGACGUAAAAUAUUAUGUGUCAAUGCGGCAUGUGGGGUUAUUCAUCACGUCUGUGACAAAGCUCUAGUUUUAUUGGUUUUUUAUUUGAAUUUGUUAUAUAUAUGCGCUUUCAAUUUUAAAUACAAAUUCUUUUGUUCAUGAUAUUAAAUUUAGUGUGAAAUAUUUUAUUAUGUGUAAAUUAGUUGCAUGUUAUCCUGCCUCAAUUUAUUCUGUCUUGAAUUUAUUCACCAAAAUGAAUUGAUGGAACAAUGUUGAAAAGCAUGAAAAACAUGCAUUACAUGUAUUUUGUAUGCAGUUUUGCUUCAUCUAAUGUUUUGAUGUGAGUGCCAAAGUGAUUUUAGUCAUUAUAUGUUAUGUGUUUAUGUUUAAAUAGAUUGUCUACUUUUUUGCAAGGAAAACAAAUAUUGUGUGUUGCAAAUUUUUGCUAUUUGUAUUAUACCCAAAGAUUGUAUGUAAAAGAUUUGUUAGGAACCUAUUGCAAAUGGUGGAUGUCCAACUUGUUAAAAAAAACUAUUUUGUUUAUAUUCUAUAAUAGUAGACUCCAUGACAAACAUUUUAAAUUUUCACAGUGUGUAUGUUUGUUAAGUAUUUGUAUUUUAGCAAGUAUUUUACAUUAUCAAAUCAUACGGUUAAACUGAUCAACACUGCCCACUUCAAUGUGAGUUGGAGCCACUGUAUAAUCCUGAUUUAAAGAUCAUGUUUAUUUGGUCCUUCGUAUGUUACCAGAUUGAUGGGAGUCCUAUGACAGUAUUAGGCACCCAUCUUAUUAAACAACAUAAUUGCCUAACAACGUUAUCUAAGUGUAAUUUGUAUUGUAAUCAUUUAUGUAUUCUAUUUUUAUACCCUGUAUUUGGAUUGGACUUAUUAUAGUAAUUUUGUUUUAAUAAUAACUGAAAUUUUCAGCUAGUGAUUUUACUAAAAUUUUGAAGUCCAUAUGGCAAUUGCCUGAUUAGAUUUAAGAACCAUGGUGUAUGCUACCAACUAAUCACAUCCAAAUUUGAGACUUUCGUUUAAAAAAAGCUUCAUGCAGCUAAUUGUUUUACUCAAUUUCAUUUACACUCAUGCAAACAAAGUUUGAUUGGUUAUAUAGGAGUCAACUCGUCGGUUGGUCCAUUGGUUUGUCUGUGUGUCUGAAUAAAAAGUUUGUGAAGCAUAUUAUUUGUAUAUUUCUCAAGUUGUUCUGAGUUUUUAAACUACUUCUAUAUUCCUCAAGCAAUUACAAUUUGAAAUAUGCCAUCACCAUGAAAUGUAAGUCUGCAAGACACCUUUCCCAUUUCCAGUGAUAAAUACCUUCAUUAAAUAAUGUGGCUGUGCAUCUGAAUUGCGCCAUUUUUACGGCAGAUUCGUAGUUUAUUGAACGAACAACUUCUACGUUUUUCAAGCGGUUGAAUUAAAGGGUCAAUAAUGUUAUCAGCAUUAGGUGCAGAUGUGCAAGAUGACUUUCAUGCACAGUGAUGCACACAUUCCUUAGUAUAUGCCAUUGAACUUAGCCAUGUUUAAGGCAGAGGCAUAACGUGUUCUUAUGUUGUUAUUUCAAUUACCGGUACUCUAACAUUUCUUAAGCAAUUAAAUUAAUACUUUAAGUAUGUCACCACAAAUUGUUUUACAUGAGCAGUACACUUUGUUCUUGCCAGUGUUCCACACUUUCCUGAGCAAUAUGCCCUUGAAUUUUGCCAUGUUUAUGUCAGAAACAUAAAACUACUUUUAUAACUCUGAAGCGAUCGAAUUUAAUAUCGAAAUAUUUUAUUACCAUGAACUGUGGAUAGGAAAAUCAUAUGUUCACUCGCAGUGAUCUUCACUUUCCUAAGUCAUGUGCCCUUAAACAUAGUCAUGUGCUUUGCUGCUAUGUUUAGGACAAAGCGAUGCGGUGGUAUUUCUUGUCACUCAAUGUGAUAAAGCUUUAGUGUUUAUUUGCAUGUGUAAUUGUGUCACAUUAUAUCAACCAAUUCUGUUUUGUCGAAAGAAAUUGUUAUAGAAGGUGUGUGUGUGUGCUUGUGCGAUAUUGUUUCUCAUUAGAUUGUUGUUCCAAGUUUUGUGCCAUCUCUAUUUUUGAAUAUAUUUUUGUAUUAUAUUAAAUAUAUAAUUAUUAAUAAAACAUUUUCGUAUA